rnacentral:tRNA from 1 species
GGGCCGCUAGCUCAAUGGCGUAGAGCUGCUGACUUUUAAUCAGAGGGUUCGGGGUUCGAGUCCCCGGCGGCCCAC